GACGAACGCUGGCGGCGUGCUUAACACAUGCAAGUCGAACGGAAAUGCCCUGCUUUGGUGGGGUGCUCGAGUGGCGAACGGGUGAGUAACACGUGAGUAACCUGCCCUUGACUUUGGGAUAACUACAGGAAACUGGGGCUAAUACCGGAUAGGAGCUCCUGCUGCAUGGUGGGGGUUGGAAAUUUUGGGCGGGUGGGGGUGGACUCGCGGCUUAUCAGCUUGUUGGGGGGGUAGUGGCUUACCAAGGCUUGGCCGGGUAGCUGGCCUGAGAGGGUGACCGGCCACAUUGGGACUGAGCUACGGCCCAGACUCGUACGGGAGGCAGCAGUGGGGAAUAUUGCACAAUGGGAGGGAGCCUGAUGCAGCAACGCCGCGUGCGGGAUGACGGCAUUCGGGUUGUAAACCGCUUUCGCCUGUGACGAAGCGUGAGUGACGGUAAUGGGUAAAGAAGCACCGGCUAACUACGUG
rnacentral:rRNA from 1 species